rnacentral:lncRNA from 1 species
GGGGUUUCUGAAUAUUGUCGAGGUACCCUUCGUGCGAGUCGGCAUUUGACAGUUUUUAUUCGUCAUCUGAGUUUAUCUCAAAUCUGGUGAGAAAAUUUCAAAUACCUUUUCUUCCCUCAAGAUUGCACUUGUUUACUUGACCAUUUGAGUAUUCUUUGGCAAUCGGUGAGAAAACUCCUUUAACCAUGGAGGAUUUAGAAAAGUUGAUGGUUAGGAUGAUGGAGUCUCGUAUCUCCGAUGGUGAGUUUUCAAAGAUCACCUUAGAAGCUAACC